CCCCUGUCAGGAUCGCACCUGGAGAGUUUCCAGUACUCUACCAGUCUUGAAGAUGGGAGGAAGAGUCAAGCAGAGGCCUAUCCAUUCCAUUCCUAGCUUGGGCAGUGGCUAGCGAGUGGCAAGCAAUCAGCUACAGGU